rnacentral:rRNA from 1 species
UUUGGUUAAGUUAGAAAGGGCGCACGGUGGAUGCCUUGACACUAGGAGUCGAUGAAGGACGGGACUAACGCCGAUAUGCUUCGGGGAGCUGUAAGUAAGCUUUGAUCCGAAGAUUUCCGAAUGGGGAAACCCACCAUACGUAAUGGUAUGGUAUCCUUAUCUGAAUACAUAGGGUAAGGAAGACAGACCCAGGGAACUGAAACAUCUAAGUACCUGGAGGAAGAGAAAGCAAAUGCGAUUUCCUGAGUAGCGGCGAGCGAAACGGAACAUAGCCCAAACCAAGAGGCUUGCCUCUUGGGGUUGUAGGACAUUCUAUACGGAGUUACAAAGGAACGAGGUAGACGAAGCGACCUGGAAAGGUCCGUCGUAGAGGGUAACAACCCCGUAGUCGAAACUUCGUUCUCUCUUGAAUGUAUCCUGAGUACGGCGGAACACGUGAAAUUCCGUCGGAAUCUGGGAGGACCAUCUCCCAAGGCUAAAUACUCCCUAGUGAUCGAUAGUGAACCAGUACCGUGAGGGAAAGGUGAAAAGCACCCCGGAAGGGGAGUGAAAGAGAUCCUGAAACCGUGUGCCUACAAAUAGUCAGAGCCCGUUAACGGGUGAUGGCGUGCCUUUUGUAGAAUGAACCGGCGAGUUACGAUCCCGUGCGAGGUUAAGCUGAAGAGGCGGAGCCGCAGCGAAAGCGAGUCUGAAUAGGGCGUUUAGUACGUGGUCGUAGACCCGAAACCAGGUGAUCUACCCAUGUCCAGGGUGAAGUUCAGGUAACACUGAAUGGAGGCCCGAACCCACGCACGUUGAAAAGUGCGGGGAUGAGGUGUGGGUAG